GUGUCAGCUGCCAGCAAUGCGCAAUCCAGGACUCCUGACCUGAGAAGCGCGCGGCGAACACUGACUAACUCUCCUGUACAAGUGGGCAGAAAGCCUCUAGAAGCUUUCGUUUGCCAUCUUCUCAUUUGUUAACGAGUAAUCGGAGGCAAUGUUCCCGGAGGCCGGAGAGCAUGUCUCCUCUGUCUUCCACAGCACAUGCAGUCUCCUCUUCUGCAAAAUGAAGCAGAUAAUAGUAACCACCUCACAGGGUUCUUAUGUGAAUAUCUUCAAAACGUUUGCUGCAUAUAGUGGAAGUUCUGGAGGCAAAGAGACCUGGAUUUGAAUCCUGACUCCUUUACCGUGUCUUGGGAAUCCAGCUGCUGCGCCAUGAGCAGCCCCAGGGGGAAGCCCACGUGGUGAGGACCUGAGGCCCCUUCCAGCAGCCGGGUGAAUGAGCUUGGAAGCAGACCCUCCAGUGCGCUGCAGCCUUCAGGUCUGUGUGGGCAAAAAAGAGCAGAGAAGCUUUCCCAGGAAUCUAAGUUUUCCACCAGGCAAUGGCAGAACCGGGAUUGAGCCUCCAUAUCCUAGAUUCAACGCUGACACUUCCAACCUCUCCAUCACAGAUACUCAAACCCCUCCUGUGCCAGGUACUUAACCAUCUCCAGCGACAAAGGCCUCUCUCCCUGCCCAGGCACCCUGGGCCAUGUUCUGAUGCUGGCAAUAUGAGAGUUUUAUCCUUUUUGUUGAACUCUUGGCCCACUGCUUCUGGUGCUUUUCUGAGCCUCUCCUGGCCCUUCCUCCACCGAAUAGCACCUGAGGGUGUGAACUGUGGCAACUGGUACAAUCUGGGACAAAGUCCACCAGGGAUUUCAAGGAGUGUUCUUUGCAUGCAAAACAUCACGAGGUUGCUGGGGCCGUGCUAAUUGGCUGCAUUUGAACUACAACAACAUUCAAACCCAACAAGAUAAUUAAAGCUGAAAAUGAUCAGCUGGGAUUAAAAGGAUUCAAAGGGUAAUUGCUUUAUAACAAGCUACGUUGCUCCAAGUAGCAGGAAGGAUUGACGAAACUGGAAUUAAUUAUAUUAGGCUACUUGUUUAUUUUUAUACAGUCUUUUAAAAUCAUUUGUAUUUGGCCAAUUUGUGUCUUUUCCCAAAUACUCGUGGGUUUGGUUAACUGCCGUGGAUUUAUCUGCCAACUGCAAUUAUUCCUGUUCUUGGAAACUACACAGGCACAAAAACAUACUCACCAUUUAUCAGUGUGAUAAAUCCUUUUAUUGCCUUUGUAAUAAUGAUGUCUAAAUUUGUAUGGUGCUUGUAACGUUUUCAAAAUGCCUUCACAUCUGUUAUCUCAGUUUGUCUUCACAACAACCUGAUGAGGUAGUUGAGGGCUGGAGUUCCCAUUUGGAGAUGAUAAAGGCAGAGAGAGGUGAGCCAUACAGCAGAAUAAUAAGAGAGCUCACACUAGAAUCCAGAGUGCCUACUGCUCACCUGGCGUGUUUGUUCUAUUGCACUAGAAAAAAGCAUUGUGUUUGCUAAUUAGGCAGGGCUGAACACUGCCGACAUGAAGUGAAAAAGCCAUUGUUGGGGUUCAAGCAGAAGGUGAAACUCAUCAAUAAAUUAGCCGUUUAAACCGAAAAAAGUGAAAGAGAUCAAUCAUUGGUCAGAUGGGAAAGGUGCUUCCUGAACUGGGGUUGUUGUAAUAAGGCUUGAAGAAUGAACUCUGGUUUAUCCCUGGUAGUCUUGGGCUUACUUUCUCUCUUCCCCUUCAUGGUUUUGUACCUGUCAAGUGACUAUUCCUCUGGAUACCUUAGUUUCCUGUUCUGUACAAUGGGACUAACAAUGACCUUCACUGGUGUAAUGGUUAGGGCCAAAUGAAACAUUGCAAGUACUAGAGCCAGACAAAGAAGAGAUACUCUGGCCCCUGGCAAUCUU